UUUGACCUCAAAUCAGGUAGGACUACCCGCUGAACUUAAGCAUAUCAAUAAGCGGAGGAAAAGAAACUAACAAGGAUUCCCCUAGUAACUGCGAGUGAAGCGGGAAAAGCUCAAAUUUGAAAUCUGGCAGUCUUUUUUUUCUUCUUUGGCUGUCCGAGUUGUAAUCUAGAGAAGUGCUUACCUGUGCUGGACCAUGUAUAAGUCUCCUGGAAUGGAGCGUCACAGAGGGUGAGAAUCCCGUCUUUGACAUGGACUGCCAGUGCGUUGUGGUGUGCUCUCAAAGAGUCGAGUUGUUUGGGAAUGCAGCUCUAAAUGGGUGGUAAACUCCAUCUAAAGCUAAAUAUUGGCGAGAGACCGAUAGCGAACAAGUACCGUGAGGGAAAGAUGAAAAGGACUUUGGAAAGAGAGUUAAACAGUAUGUGAAAUUGUUGAAAGGGAAACGCUUGAAGUCAGUUAUGUUGGUUAGGGAUCAACCUAGCUAUUUGCUGGGUGAAUUUCCUAGUCUGACAGGCCAACAUCAGUCUUGACUGUUGGAAAAGAGCAGAGGGAAUGUGGCACCUUUGGGUGUGUUAUAGCCCUUUGUCAUAUGUGGCAGUUGGGACUGAGGAAUGCAGCGUGCCGCGAGGCUGGGUUUCGACCACGUUCACGCUUAGGAUGUUGGCUUUUAAUGGCUUUAAUCGACCCGUCUUGAAACACGGACCAAGGAGUCUAACAUGCCUGCGAGUGUUUGGGUGGAAAACCCUUGUGCACAAUGAAAGUGAAAGUUGAGAUCCCUGUCAUGGGGAGCAUCGACGCCCGGACUUGAGCUUUUAGCAAUGGAUCCGCGGUAGAGCAUGCAUGUUGGGACCCGAAAGAUGGUGAACUAUGCCUGAAUAGGGCAAAGCCAGAGGAAACUCUGGUGGAGGCUCGUAGCGAUUCUGACGUGCAAAUCGAUCGUCAAAUUUGGGUAUAGGGGCGAAAGACUAAUCGAACCAUCUAGUAGCUGGUUCCUGCCGAAGUUUCCCUCAGGAUAGCAGAAGCUCAUUAUCAGAUUUAUGUGGUAAAGCGAAUGAUUAGAGGCCUUGGGGUUGAAACAACCYUAACCUAUUCUCAAACUUUAAAUAUGUAAGAACGAGCUGUCACUUGAUUGGACUGCUCG
rnacentral:rRNA from 1 species